GCGGGAAACCCACCUCAAAACGAGCAUUCCCUUGAGAACCGUGGAAGACGACCACGUUGAUAGGCCGGAUGUGGAAGUGCAGCAAUGCAUGUAGCUUACCGGUACUAAUCGUUCGAUUGGCUUGAUUGCUCUCAUUAU
rnacentral:rRNA from 1 species